AUGAGUCAGCUGAAGGAGGAAUACCGCUCCCUGAAGGAAGACUGUCAGUCGUUGGCCAACAACAACCUGGAGCUGACCAGCAGACUCAAAAAGCUGCAGCAGGACCAGGCGCAGCAGCAGGCCAGCCGCGCUGACGACAUCUACAUGGCCCUGAAGGAGGAGCCCUCCGACGCGGAGGACCUGGUGAAGACCGACGGCUACAUCACCCUGUCCCAGGCCGAGCCCCCCCGCCAGCCCAACGCCCGGCCCGCCCGGGACCCCCCCAGCACCCCGGCGGGGGACGGCCAGGAGGUCAGCGCUCUGAAGGCCCAGCUCCGGGAGGCCGAGGAGAGGGCGCAGGAGGUCCAGAGAGAGUGUGAGGGGCUGAAGGAGGAGCUGGUGGAGCUACAGACGCUGUACGACAGCAGUCAGCGGGAGAGGGCGGGGCUUGACCAGGAGCUGCGCUGCUGCAGGGCGGAGCUUGAGGAGCUGGUGGGGCGCACGGUAAAGGGGAACAAGAGCGAGAGCUGGCAUCUGGCGGUGGCGGGGGCGGUUGCCAUGACAGCCGUGGUCGCCCUAGUGGUCUCUGGCAUCAUGCGGGCGGUGGCGUGAGCGCACGGCUAACGGAACUUUCCGGCAGCGCGACGAACGGAGUACUCUUUUUUUCCUUCAUUUUUUCUCUAUGUCACACAUUUUUUCAAAGCUACGUCGCCGCAUCAUGCUAUCGGCGCUUCAUGCUAUCGGCGCUUCAUGCUAAACAGCGCUAAUUGCUCCAGUAGGCUACGCGGCGCUAGCCGCUAACAUAGGCUACUACGCAUGGCCCCCCGAGCCUUCCAGCGUCCCCCCCGCCGUCUGUGGUCUCACGCCCGUCUUCCCGAUAUCGUCUUCAGCCCGCAGCGUAGCGGUCAGUGUGUUAUGUCGUGAGUGAACGUGUGGUAGAAGUAUGCUAGGAGGGAUUAUUAGGUCAAUUACAACAAGUGUAUGAUAGACUUUAUAUGUAGGCCUAUAAAUAUAUAUAUAUUGUAGGAUAAAACUUGUUUAUUUGAUUUUACAAAGCUGUACACAAUUUAUUUAUUUUUAGCAGUAGGCUAAGUAAUUACCGGGUGUCAUUAAAGUUAGAGUUAUGGUUGUUGAAGCAACCCAUGGUUCGCCUUAUUUUACUUUAAUGAAUUACAUCACACUUAUGAUGGAUAUAGCCCAGAAGGCCUUCUCGUUAAAUUAAAAUGCUGUGGAGUGUGAAGACUUAAGGAAAUGUUCCAAAAACUGUUACUUAUCGUGCUAUGGUGUAUAAAUCCCUACCCCUCUCUAAUCGUUACCUAUCGGCGAUUUAUAAUCCUCUCAGUCUAAAGAACAACAACUCUUGCCAGAGCUAAUAUUUAUAGCAAGUACUAACCGCAAACAAUUAUAGAAAGCGAUCUUUUUAAAGCUUUAUAAAGUCUCCAGUCUGUAGCCUAUAGGCUUACUGGAAUUCGCUAGCCCAGUUUUUGGAGGUGAAAUGCAGGGGAAUACGAAAAUGAUUUUAAUAAACAGAAUUCACUGUCAGCUUAAAGAGUAGCACUGUCCCCGUUUCUAAGGUUAUUUGCGCGUAGAUUUUCUUCAAUACAUGCCUUUUAUUAUCUCUUUUUGCGUCAAAUCUGACGUAUUUUGGCACUAGGCCUCCUAGAGUAUAGGUUCAUUGCAUACCUACGCAACAUUCAAACUCAAUAAGGCCAAUCUGUUUGUACUCAAUUCGACCACUAGAGGGUGUAAUUUGGCGCCAGAUUUGUCUGGGAACAUAAAUACCGCUAACGUCAUGUUUGUGUUUUAGAUGUAAAAUUGAAAAAAAAUAUAUAAUAAUCAAAUUCAUACAUUAAACAUACAAGUGUGGCGUGACUUAAGCUUGGACCAAUACCCAGAGCUGCCUAAAGAUUCAGAUGGAUAUUUUUGUAUGGAUUAUUUUCUGUGGGUUUUCAGUUUUCGGUUGAAGUAAUCUUUUUUAACAUUAUAAUUGUUAUUUUGAGGUGAACACAACCAUAAGGUUACCAAAAAAUACAGGACGCUGUGGCAGUACCUCUGUGGGAUCAUACCUAGUUCUCCAUGAACACAAAAUAUAGCUGAAUGUAGCCUACAAUUGUCUGCACUGCAUUGCAAACGGAGACUUUAACAAACAAUAAAGGACAUUCCAAUUUUCUAUUGAGUUCCAGCAAUAAAAUGCAAUCAAUACGACCCGACAUUUCCUACUGUUUCUACUAGCAAAUGGUGUUGAAUUUAAAAUUGUACACAACUUCCAGUUUCUUUGUUUGGCUUGGUAUUCGUCUUGUAAACAUUAGCUUAUUUGUGACAUUGGCUUCUCACCGAACACUGUAUGGCUCCUCUUCUUACAUCCCCUACAAACUCGAAUGCUGUUGUUGUUGUUGUCGUUGUUGUUAUUAUGAUCUGAUUUGCAUUCUGUUAUUUAUCUACUGUAUGACGUUAAAUUUCUGAUGGGAUUACGUGAUUAUGCUGCCAGGAUCUUCCUAGAUAGUGCACCCGAGAUAUUCUCACGGUUUUAUUCAUUUUUACCGCACGUUUUAUAAGAAUAAACCUGUCCUUGCAUGAUUUAAUCUGUACUGUUUCAUGGAUUUAGUUACUUUACGUUAUAUCUUAUUUUGGUUUGUAGCUUUCUUUUUGCUUGAAUUUGGGUGAAAUCGCACAAUUAGCACAAAGGCAUGCUUGGCUCAAUCCGAUUAUAAUCAAAUGGUCUCCUAUGGUCUCAGCUACCUUGCAUACACUUACCUUAAGGUACUCGCACAAAGGCAUACUCCAGUAAGGCCUAUGCCGUAUAUCAUGCAUCUCAGUAUCUUAUCCACUUGCUCAAGCAUUAAUGUAUCCGACAGUUAAUACUACUAAGAAAUGGAAGUAUCUCAUGCUUGUCGUCAUGUACAUCCAUCUGUAUAAUAUUCUAAACAGAUAUGUAGCAUUUGUACUGUUUUGUAAAUAGUAGAGUGAAGAUCAAGUAUAUAAAAGUAUUACUCAAAAGGAUAGGACAUUUGCACACAGUAUUUGCAUACAGCUCACUACAGUAUUUUUUUCCCCAACCACUGUGUUGUUUGCAGUAACCUUAUAGAUCCAGUCCUCGGGGAGCGCCAGACCUUCUGUGUAGACCUAUCUGUUGCAUGUUAGACCCAGAGAAGCAUCGUUGCAUGGCCCUUGAUGAGCAGAUACCCUGUGGUCGAAACAGCAUGCACGGUAAAUGCAUCUACAUUCAGUAUAUUUUACCUCAGCUGUAGGGGGAUUCAUUGAGUCGUAGAAUACAUCCACCUGCACAGAUUUGUGUUUUAUUAGUAUUACUGUCCGUCAGAUGUGUUUCCGUUGUCUAGUUUAUGUUGAUCGUAAUCUGGUGAAUGUAAUCCAAAUCUGCAGUUAUCUUUUUGUUUCCCUCUGUAUCGAAAUCUGGAACAGAUUGUUUGAGUUUUAUUUGAAUCUAUGUUUGUUAGAUCUUGUGAGUUGCCCUCCUUGCUACUUUUGGGGUAAUGUGUAGAACCCGGGCAGUGUAUAUUAACUUCCGGUAUAUCAAAUACAACUGGUUAGUGUUAAAUGAGACGUGUGUGUGUAAGUGUGUGUGUGUGUGUGUGCGUGUGUGUGUGUGUGUGUGUGUGUAGGAUAAAUCUAUGCUUGUUGUUUUGACGUUUGAAUCAAUGUGUUGUGUCGCUGUCAAAGAUGAGUCAGUCAUAUUUCUUUCUGGGAGAGAAUCAUUUUUCUUGGUUCAAGAAUACACCUGGAUUUUGUGGCAUUUGAACAAAUAUUUUUGACCCCAGGGUCAUGUUUUGACAUGGACACAGGAGGUCAUUUUUCUUUCUGUCGCUUGUUCUUUUCUGUACUUUUGAAUGUUAUUUGUGUCUGAUCCUUGUUUAAAACAAAACUUUGUCAAAAUAACUCUGUACAUUUUGUAAAUGAAACUGAAAGAUUAAAGACAUUUUAUCCUUGUG
rnacentral:lncRNA from 1 species